rnacentral:lncRNA from 1 species
GUGGUUUUGAAAGGGAAUUUUCCUGAAUGCCACCAGCUAAGCUCUCUGGCUCUGAGCUUUGGCUGUGCUACCACAGGCCUUGCCUCCUUCCUGUACUGGGCGUCCUCCUGCCCUGUUCCUCCCUCUCCCUUCCUGCCACACCCGGCUGACCUCUGCUCACCAUUUUCUCCAUUCCAUGGACAUUUUCCCACCACACCAGUGGCUACUCCCACUUGCACUAGGAGCGCUGUGACACCCCAACUUGUGGGGCAGAGGUCAGGCCCAGAGUGCUGAAGUGCUGAAGCUCCUGUAGAAGGUCCUUCCAUGUGUCUUUCAGAUCCUGGGCUUGGCCUUCUCCAUAACCAUCACCCAGCACAUCCACUGGACUGGGUCUUGCUCUGUCAUCCAGACUGGAGUACAGUGGUGCAACCACGGCUCACUGCAGCCUUGAACUCCUGGGCUCAAGCAAUCCUCCUACCUCAGCCUCCAUAGCAGUCGGGACCACAGAAGUUGCCUGCUUCCCCUUCGCCUUUGCCUUCUGCCAUGAUUAUAAGUUUCCUGAGGCCUCCCAGCCAUGCUUCCUGUUAAGCCUGUGAAACUCUCUGGACUGGGCAACUACUGGUCCCCUCAGCAAAGAUUUAUCUUUCUGCAUUUGCAAUGAAAACAUGUCCAACUCCAGGUUUGGGGAUGAGGACAAAUCAGCUGGUCCACGGUGGAGAAACCCUGUCACAGUAGAGUGAGUUGGUCUGGGGGUGAGGCUUGCAGUAGGAGUGUGUGUCUCAACAGACAGAGCCCCCUUGCUCCUGACUUUUCGCCACACUCUGCAUCUGCUGCAGCCAAGCAGAGGGUGGCGCCUGCAGUGGUAAGAGCUCACUGCAGGUUCAUGAACAGAUGCUGGUUGUGUGUCAUGGUAAAUGGUAGGAAAACAUGGACUGACUGAAGGGAGGAAGCCUGAAGAGGAAUACAAUUUAAGUACAUGUGUUUGAGCCUGGCUGUCCUUUGCAGCCAGGAGCUAAUGACACUUGUGAGCAGGAGAAGUCAGUUCAAACACAUCAGUGAUGAGGGCUGACAAAAAAAGGGUAAGCAGGACCCUAUCCAAUGUGGCCAAUGGUUUACUCAUAGGGGAGCCGUGGCUAACACAGCAGCUUCACGAUGUAGCCGUGGGUCAUGGUACAUUUAAUGAACUGAUGGCCUGGGGGUUCCUUGCAGAGGAGAAAAAAAUUCAACAGAAGGUAGUCCUAGAUACAAUUCCUUUAUUAUCAUUAUCAUGCCCCCUAGCACAUGAAGCUGGGCUUCCA